rnacentral:rRNA from 1 species
CCUACGGGAGGCAGCAGUGAGGAAUAUUGGUCAAUGGACGAGAGUCUGAACCAGCCAAGUAGCGUGAAGGAUGACUGCCCUAUGGGUUGUAAACUUCUUUUAUAUGGGAAUAAAACGUUCCACGUGUGGGAUUUUGUAUGUACCAUAUGAAUAAGGAUCGGCUAACUCCGUGCCAGCAGCCGCGGUAAUACGGAGGAUCCGAGCGUUCUCCGGAUUUAUUGGGUUUAAAGGGAGCGUAGGUGGAUUGUUAAGUCAGUUGUGAAAGUUUGCGGCUCAACCGUAAAAUUGCAGUUGAAACUGGCAGUCUUGAGUACAGUAGAGGUGGGCGGAAUGCGUGGUGUAGCGGUGAAAUGCUUAGAUAUCACGAAGAACUCCGAUUGCGAAGGCAGUUCACUGGACUGCAACUGACACUGAGGCUCGAAAGUGUGGGUAUCAAACAGGAUUAGAUACCCCAGUAGUC